rnacentral:ribozyme from 13 species
UUUUUUAAUUUUUUUUUUUUUUUUUUUUUUUUUU